rnacentral:rRNA from 1 species
AUUGAACGCUGGCGGCAGGCCUAACACAUGCAAGUCGAGCGGUAGAGAGAAGCUUGCUUCUCUUGAGAGCGGCGGACGGGUGAGUAAUGCCUAGGAAUCUGCCUGGUAGUGGGGGAUAACGUUCGGAAACGGACGCUAAUACCGCAUACGUCCUACGGGAGAAAGCAGGGGACCUUCGGGCCUUGCGCUAUCAGAUGAGCCUAGGUCGGAUUAGCUAGUUGGUGGGGUAAUGGCUCACCAAGGCGACGAUCCGUAACUGGUCUGAGAGGAUGAUCAGUCACACUGGAACUGAGACACGGUCCAGACUCCUACGGGAGGCAGCAGUGGGGAGUAUUGGACAAUGGGCGAAAGCCUGAUCCAGCCAUGCCGCGUGUGUGAAGAAGGUCUUCGGAUUGUAAAGCACUUUAAGUUGGGAGGAAGGGCAGUAAAUUAAUACUUUGCUGUUUUGACGUUACCGACAGAAUAAGCACCGGCUAACUCUGUG